AAAAAAAACCCCAGCAUCAUAGCGAUGAAGAAACAGAAGGAAAAAAAAAAAAAGAAAAAAAAAGAGAGACGAGACGACAUCAAGCAGACGAAGAAGAAGAAGAAGACUAACCUGUAGCCGAAGCCGAAGUCGAAGUCUUCAAUCAAAGACGAAGUUGCAAUCGUAUUGUGCUGCAGAAUGCGCGAUGAGAAGAGAUGACAUUGAAAAAUUUUAGGGCUUCGACUCUCGUAUGUGUUGUAUGAGUUGCAAUCGUAUGUGUUGGACCCAUUCAAACUCAGAUCAGAGCCAUCGAUAAGCAUCAGGGGGCAAAAAAAAAAAAAAACAGAAAGGCACGCUUAAGCGUCGCCUUGCGCCUGUUCGCGCCUGGCCCAAGGCUCGGCCUAGGCGCGCGACUCAUCUACCUCGCCUCGCCUCGCCUCGCCUUGGGUCUCUUUAGUUGCCGAAGUUGCGCUUGGAUGCGGCUUGCGUCUAGGCGCGCCUUUCACAACAUUGCUUACAACCACUAUUCAAGGAGAAUAAAUACAAGACUCAAGUAAUGAUUUACAACCUAAGAAGCAUGGACACAAUAGGGUGAAAAAAUAUUUUAUACAUAUCUUUAUUUGCCAUAUAUAUGAUUAUAAAUUUAGUGCAUAGAAAUGUAAUAGACAUUAAUGUAUAUGUGGAUAUAUAUAUUUCCAUGUAUUUUACUUUGAUCCCAAACCAUUUUUCUAAAAUUAUAUAAAAGAAACUUGCAAAUGUGUCUUGAGGUGUGUCCAAACUAGGGUGGCAAACAAACCGAGUUGUUCAUGGAUAGCUCUAGCUCAGCUCGUUUGAUUUCAGUUCAUUUACUGCAUGAACAAGCUCAUGCUCGAUUUUUAGGCUCGUUUAUUAAUCGAGCUGAGCUUGAGUUGCCCUGAGCUUGGCUCGAUAUGGCUUGUGAACAUAAAGAAACUAAAUUAAUAUUUAAUUUUAAUCUAUGAAGAACGGACACAUCUCCGAAGGCAGCGUAUGGGUGUCCGACACAUGUUGGACAUGGACACGCUUCAGACACGUGGUGGACACAUGUCCGACACUCUAUGGGAGGUGUCCCCUUUUUGGCAGUUGGACUCGCUUGGGACAUGCUUGGACACGUUCGGGACACGAUUCUUAACAAAAUCCCUUGCCUGUUGGUCGACAAAGAGAGAGAGAAGAGAAAGAACGUGAAGAAGAACCUGAACAUGUUGAAGCUCAAGAGGGUGAGGGUGAAGUUGAAGCCCUAGAUUGACGGGAACCACUUUGUGUACUAUGCCAAAGGUUAGGCACCUCAGGCGGGAUUUGAGGUUCUAUCUCAAACAAAUAUCUUCCAAGGUGGCAUUAAUUCAUGAUAACUUGUCUGUGGAAGUUUUCAGAUCUUAUACUACUACUCGUACGGACAAUGUGGAACGUAGGGUGGUCUAUUCUAUCUCCAAGCCUGUUCCACUGUCGGCUGUUCAAGAUAAUGAGAACAAUGAGCAGUCUGUUAUCUCUUGCAGAAGUUGCUCUGCAUCCAUGACUUCCUCGAAAAGUUCUGCUAUACUUGAGAACAACUUGACAUCUUCAUUUACGCACAGGUCACGGGAGCAUCACUUUUCAUCCGGUGAUUUGGGAUCUACUUCAAAGCAAGAAAAAUCAGAGUGCUAAAGCUUGUGACUUUGAGAAAUGCAUGGAUUUUCGAAGACAUUCAGGGACGUGGAUGCUUUGUGAGAGGAAGUUCGAAGUUUGGCAUCUUUUUGGGUCUAAAUGUUUCCACCGUUUGUAGAGAUCCAACUUUUCUUGAAAUCUAGUGAUGGGAUGGCCAUUUGUGUAAAACAUGAUUUCUUGCCUUUGGGUCAUUUUUGUUUGAUAGUGCAGGACCUCUUGUCCUCCUUUGUACUGUUUUGAUUUUUAUAGAAUAAAAUCAUUUUUUAAUCAUUUUUU